GGUGGCAGGCUGUAGUCCUGCUAACAUGGGUUUAAAUCCUGUUUCUACC
rnacentral:tRNA from 1 species